UGCCCGCGAGGCUCACCCACGGGGCCGCAGCCUUUGAAUCGCCGAGCGCCACCCCUCGCAGGCACGGGCCUGGGCCGUUUAUCUGUUUCCCAGUCGAAGGACAGCUGGGCUGUUUCCGGUUUUCGAUUAGCCAAGUUCCAGAAAAUAGUUUCUCAGCCCAGAACAGGCUUCCCAGCCACCAGCUCUGGAACUGAGCCCCUCCCACACAGGCGGCUAUGUGCGGACAUCAUGAGAAUUGCUGGGGAGCCGGGAGGCUCGGGGACCCCGGGUCAUCAGACCCCCUCCCCCACCCGAACACCCAUGCACUCAGCAGGUCAGUGUCACUGCCGACUGCUGCCUACCACCCAGAGUCACGGGCCUUUUUCAAACCUGGGGUCCGGGGGCGGCUGGGCGUGGGCUCUACCCUCUCUGUGCACCCUCCCCAUGUGGGUGGCACCCAGGGGCUGUGCCUGCCCUCACCCGGCCGGCCCAGACAUACCAGGCUUCAACUCAGCACGGCCCAGGGGGACAAGGGAGACCCGUGCUGCCGUUUCUCAGCCCAGCCAGCCACAAGAAAUGCAGAUCUGGCGAUCCUCAGGAAGCCGAUCCGUGUAAGUCAGCGAAGUGACACACGAGGAAGAAAAAUCAGACGCGGGUCCUACGACAUGUGGCGAAGACACUUGUGAAAAUCCAACAUCCGCUCGUGAUUAAAACGAAAAGGGCUCUUACAAACCCAGAGCCAAAGGGGGCCUCUGAUGCCGUGGAAGAGGGCCUGCGGGAGGCCGGCGCAGUCGUCAUGCUUCGUGGCAAAGCCUCGAAAGCUUUCCUUCCCAAACCAGAAGCGAGGCAAGACGUUCUCCCCCUCGCCCUUUCUGCUCGACAUGGUGACAGCUGCCUCCACCACUGCAAUAAGGUAAGAAAACUAAAUAAACGAGGGGCUCCCGGCUGGCUCCGUCAGAAGAGCAUUCGACUCUUGACCUCGGGGUCGGGAGUUCCAGAGCCACGUCGGGUAUAGAGAUGACGUAAAUCAACAAAACUUAAAAAGAAAAAGAAACAAACCAGAGGUGAAAAGACUAGACGAGAAGAAACCAAACUGCCAUUUUUCGCAAGGCAGGCAAUUCCAAACGCAGGAGGUCCGAAAUGACCUGCAGAUCAAUACUAACAGUUUACCAAGGUUGCUGGAUGUAAAGUUAACACGAAAAAUCAGAUUUCUUUCUAUGUAAUGGGGGCGAACAGAUAGAAAAUGGGAAUUUUUGAACGAUACCACCUGUGAUAACAUCAAACCAGGUCAAGCGCCCGGAAAUAAAUACAGUAGCAUACACACGAGACCUCUAGAGAAAAAAAAAAAUAUGAAAUUUUAUUGACAGACAUUCAUGAAGACCUAAGAGGGGACAUUUGUUCAUGUUUAUAGUUUAUGGUUUAUGAAGUGCUUAUGGUUUAGAAAAUUCAACAUUAUAAAGAUCUUAAUUCUCCCAAAUUGA